GUGGAGAUGUCUCUGGGGACCAGAGUCAGCUGCAUCUCCUGCCUCCUUCAAGAAAAAACAUCUGCCAGAGACACUGGGGCUGGCUCAGACAUGGAAAGACAGACACACAGGGGGAGACAGAUGCCGUGUGACACCAGAGGUAGAAACUGCUAGAAGCAGCAAAGGAGCCCCAAAGAUGGCUGAAGGAGAGAAAGAGGAACCUCCCCUAGAGGCCGUGCAUUCGGACUUCUAUCAUCCGAAACGACGCUUUCUGAAUCGUGGGCAUGAACGGACCCUCACCGACAUUUCUUCUGCAACCCUCAGCCCAUUGUUGCCCCUGCGAGUGAAGCCCAG